rnacentral:rRNA from 1 species
AAUGGGGGAAACCCUGAUGAUGCGACGCCGCGUGCAGGAUGAAGGCUCUAGGGUCGUAAACUGCUUUUGUCAGGAAAGAACCUUAUCGGUUAAUAGCCGAUAAAUUGACGGUACCUGACGAAUAAGCCACGGCUAACUUCGUGCCAGCAGCCGCGGUAAUACGAGGGUGGCAAGCGUUACUCGGAAUUAUUGGGUGUAAAGGGUAGGUAGGCGGUUUAUUAAGUGGGUAGUGAAAUCCUACGGCUCAAUCGUAGAAGUGCUAUCCAAACUGGUAAACUUGAGUGUGACAGAGGGAAAUGGAAUUUCCGGUGUAAGGGUGAAAUCUGUAGAUAUCGGAAAGAACACCAGCGGCGAAGGCGAUUUCCUGGGUCACAACUGACGCUAAACUACGAAAGCUAGGGGAGCAAACAGAAUU